UUAACUCAAAUUUGUAUGGAGUUGGAACAUUGUCCCUGUUUGCUGCUAAGGCCGCUGUUCCAAACUCCAUACAAAAUUGAGUUA
rfam:Bombyx mori DNA, contig: Bm_scaf49_contig26094, strain: p50T/Dazao, build 2, whole genome shotgun sequence.